rnacentral:rRNA from 1 species
GCCGCGUGCAGGAAGACUGUUCUAUGAAUUGUAAACUGCUUUUCUACAGGAAGAAAUCAUGCUACGUGUAGUGUGUUGCCGGUACUGUAGGAAUAAGCACCGGCUAACUCCGUGCCAAGCAGCCGCGGUAAUACGGAGGGUGCAAGCGUUAUCCGGAUCUAUUGGGUUUAAAGGGUGCGUAGGCGGAAUAGUAAGUCAGUGGUGAAAUCCUGCGGCUCAACCGUAGAACUGCCAUUGAUACUGUUAUUCUUGAAUGUAGUUGAGGUAGGCGGAAUGUGUAAUGUACCGGUGAAAUGCUUAGAUAUUACACAGAACACCGAUUGCGAAGGCAGCUUGCUAAGCUACGAUUGACGCUGAUGCACGAAAGCGUGGGGAGCGAACAGGAUUAGAUACCCUGGUAGUCCACGCUGUAAACUAUGAUCACUCGUUGUUUGCGAUAUACAGUAAGCGACUGAGCGAAAGCAUUAAGUGAUCCACCUGGGGAGUACGUUGGCAACAAUGAAACUCAAAGGAAUUGACGGGGGCCCGCACAAGCGGAGGAACAUGUGGUUUAAUUCGAUGAUACGCGAGGAACCUUACCUGGGUUUAAAUGUAGGUUGCAUAGAGGGGAAACUCUCUUUUCCUUCGGGACUACCUACAAGGUGCUGCAUGGUUGUCGUCAGCUCGUGCCGUGAGGUGUCGGGUUAAGUCCCAUAACGAGCGCAACCCUUAUCGUUAGUUGCCAUCAGGUCAUGCUGGGGACUCUAACGAGACUGCCGGUGUAAACCGUGAGGAAGGUGGGGAUGACGUCAAAUCAGCACGGCCCUUAUAUCCAGGGCUACACACGUGUUACAAUGGUCGGUACAAAGAGCAGCCACUUGGCGACAAGGCGCUAAUCUCGAAAGCCGAUCACAGUUCGGAUCGGAGUCUGCAACUCGACUUCGUGAAGUUGGAUUCGCUGGUAAUCGCGCAUCAGCCACGGCGCGGUGAAUACGUUCCCGGGCCUUGUACGCACCGCCCGUCAAGCCAUGGAAGCUGGGGGUGCCUGAAGUCCGUAACCGCAAGGAGC